GACGAACGCUGGCGGCGUGCUUAACACAUGCAAGUCGAACGGAAAGGCCCUGCUUUUGUGGGGUGCUCGAGUGGCGAACGGGUGAGUAACACGUGAGUAACCUGCCCUUGACUUUGGGAUAACUUCAGGAAACUGGGGCUAAUACCGGAUAGGAGCUCCUGCUGCAUGGUGGGGGUUGGAAAGUUUCGGCGGUUGGGGAUGGACUCGCGGCUUAUCAGCUUGUUGGUGGGGUAGUGGCUUACCAAGGCUUUGACGGGUAGCCGGCCUGAGAGGGUGACCGGCCCCCUGGGGACUGGGAUACGGCCCAGAUUCUUAGGGGAGGAAGAGGGGGGGAAUAUUGCAAAAGGGGCGGAAGCCUGAGGAAGCAACGCCGGGUGGGGAAUGACGGCCUUCGGGUUGUAACCCGUUUUGGCCUGGGCCGAACGUGAGUGACGGUAAUGGGUAAAGAAGCACCGGCUAACUACGUG
rnacentral:rRNA from 1 species